UGGAUGUACAGAAACUCCUGAGCUGACCUGACUGAAGUGCUGGUUCUCUCUGCAUCCGACAUCAGGCGAUUCAAGGUGUCCACUAGGUGGCGGCUGUUCGUGCCGGCUUCCAGUUUGCUGAUGGUCAACUGGUACAGCUCACGGUCAACUCCUUUACAUGCGAUUUCACAUGCUGACCUGGUGGAGGACUGCUGCUGCUGCUGCUGCUGCGGCUGCUGGAUCUACUCUCCUCCUCAGGACCAAAAUAAUCCAGGUUGAGAGCAAAGCAGCCUAUUCUAGCACGGGGAGACAGCGGAUUCAAAGGGCCCUUAACCGUGACAUCGAAGACACCGUGCAGCAUCAAAGUCCGAAGAGAAGCAAAACCAAGCAGAAAAAGGAUCAACUGAUUUAUUUCAGUAUUUACAUGUAUAUU